rnacentral:rRNA from 1 species
UGCCAGCCGCCGCGGUAAUACGGAGGGUGCAAGCGUUGUUCGGAAUUAUUGGGCGUAAAGCGCGUGUAGGCGGUUCGUUAAGUCUGAUGUGAAAGCCCGGGGCUCAACCCCGGAAGUGCAUUGGAAACUGGCGAACUUGAGUACGGGAGAGGAAAGUGGAAUUCCCGGUGUAGAGGUGAAAUUCGUAGAUAUCGGGAGGAAUACCGGUGGCGAAGGCGACCACCUGGCCAGAUACUGACGCUGAGGUGCGAAAGCGUGGGGAGCAAACAGGAUUAGAUA